AUCCGGCUGACGAGUCCCAAAUAGGGCGAAACGUUAAUCCUGUAU
rnacentral:hammerhead_ribozyme from 1 species